CAUCUCCCCACUCCCCGCUGCUGGAGCCCAGACUUGACGGAGGCUGCUACAGUGCCAGAGACCCGGAGGGACUGCCGGACCUGAUGGACACUGGGGACACCAAGGAGCUGCCACUCACUGUUUAUCCCAGCGAGACCGGCGACAACCCCGGAACCCAGUUUUCCUCCAUUUCGGCAGUUCCUUUUUGAGUCACAGUACACAGAGUGGAUGCAAUACAUUUAAAUGAAGGGCUUCUGUCCAGGAGAUGCUGGAAUUCUGUGAGACUGCUGGGGCCUAAAAUGCUUCCUGGAGUCCGGAGGCAUGUAAAAGGACCAGGGAGCGAAGCAUGGCCCUCAAGUCUUCAAGGCCACAAAGUUUGGAGAUCAGGGAGGUACCCUAAUAGGGGAGGUCCUGGAUGGACUGCUGCCAUU